AUAUAAAAUAUGGUUUUCAAAGUUAGUAACUCAUAAGAUCAUGACAUAUGUCAAGUCUAUCAAUUAGAUUUUGACGUGUGAUAGAUUUGUUUUUUACCUUUUUCCUCAAAAAAAAUAGAAAACUAAAAA
rnacentral:sRNA from 1 species